rnacentral:rRNA from 1 species
AAGACUUGGCGGUGCCCUAUACCACCUAGAGGAGCCUGUUCUAUAAUCGAUAAUCCCCGAUUCACCUCACCAUCUCUUGCCAAUACCGCCUGUAUACCUCCGUCGCAAACUGACCCCCUAAGGGCUAAAGUCGGUUAAAAGGCUUUUUUAUCCAGUAAGUCAGGUCAAGGUGCAGCGAAUGAGAUGGGAAGAAAUGGGCUACAUUUUCUACUAGUAGACUAUACGAAAAAUCACUAUGAAAUCUGAUUGGAAGGUGGAUUUAGCAGUAAAAAGAGACUAGAGCGCUCUUUUUAAGUUGGCUCUAGGGCGCGUACACACCGCCCGUCACCCUCUUCGACCCCGUUUAAAACAAUUUAUAAUUCCUUUCUAGGGACUAAGAAGAGGCAAGUCGUAACAUGGUAAGUCCACCGGAAGGUGGACUUGG